rnacentral:rRNA from 1 species
CAUGCAAGUCGAACGGUAAGCAUCCUUCGGGAUGCCUAGAGUGGCGAACGGGUGAGUAACACGUAGGUGAUCUACCCGAGAGGUUGGGGAUAGCCUGUGGAAACACAGGGUAAUACCGAAUAUGUCCUGAGUGCUGUGGCACACAGGGCAAAGGUGCUUCGGCAUCGCCUCCGGAUGAGCCUGCGCCUGAUUAGCUAGUUGGUGGGGUAAGAGCCCACCAAGGCGACGAUCAGUAGCCGGCCUGAGAGGGUGAGCGGCCACACUGGGACUGAGAUACGGCCCAGACUCCUACGGGAGGCAGCAGCUAAGAAUCUUCCGCAAUGGACGAAAGUCUGACGGAGCGACGCCGCGUGGGUGAUGAAGGCCGUGAGGUUGUAAAGCCCUUUUCUGACUGAGGAAUAAGCACACGAGGCAAUGCGUGCGUGAUGACGGUAGGUCAGGAAUAAGCCCCGGCCAAUUACGUGCCAGCAGCCGCGGUAACACGUAUGGGGCGAGCGUUGUUCGGAAUCAUUGGGCGUAAAGGGCGCGCAGGCGGUUGUGCAAGCCUGGUGUGAAAGACCGCAGCUUAACUGCGGGAACGCGCUGGGAACUGCAUGACUUGAGUUCAGGAGGGGAAGCUGGAAUUCCUGGUGUAGGGGUGAAAUCUGUAGAUAUCAGGAAGAACAUCAGUGGCGAAGGCGAGCUUCUGGCCAUGAACUGACGCUGAGGCGCGAAAGCGUGGGGAGCAAACAGGAUUAGAUACCCUGGUAGUCCACGCUGUAAACGAUGUGCACUAGGUGUUGGGUCGCUGAAGACUC